rnacentral:rRNA from 1 species
GACGAACGCUGGCGGCGUGCCUAAUACAUGCAAGUAGGACGCAGUUGCGAACGGGUGAGUAACGCGUCGGUCACUCCCUAGUCGAGGGGGAUAACUACUGGAAACGAUAGCUAAUACCGCAUACUAGUAGAUAGACCUUCGUUGUAUUAUCUAGUAGGUCGGGUAAAGGCCUACCUAGGCAACGAUACAUAGCCGACCUGAGCGGGUGAUCUGCCACACGUGGACUGAGACACGGCCCAGACUCCUAGGGGAGGCAGCAGGAGGUGAUCUUCGGCAAUGGGGGGAACACUGACCGAGCAACGCCGCGUGAGUGAAGAAGGUUUUCGGAUCGUAAAGCUCUGUUGUUAAGGAAGCGGUACUUAACCAGAAAGGGACGGCUAACUACGUGCCAGCAGCCGCGGUAAUUC